rnacentral:rRNA from 1 species
AUUGAACGCUGGCGGCAGGCCUAACACAUGCAAGUCGAGCGGAUGAAGGGAGCUUGCUCCUGGAUUCAGCGGCGGACGGGUGAGUAAUGCCUAGGAAUCUGCCCGGUAGUGGGGGAUAACGUCCGGAAACGGGCGCUAAUACCGCAUACGUCCUGAGGGAGAAAGUGGGGGAUCUUCGGACCUCACGCUAUCAGAUGAGCCUAGGUCGGAUUAGCUAGUUGGUGGGGUAAAGGCCUACCAAGGCGACGAUCCGUAACUGGUCUGAGAGGAUGAUCAGUCACACUGGAACUGAGACACGGUCCAGACCCCUACGGGAGGCAGCAGUGGGGAAUAUUGGACAAAGGGCGAAAGCCUGAUCCAGCCAUGCCGCGUGUGUGAAGAAGGUCUUCGGAUUGUAAAGCACUUUAAGUUGGGAGGAAGGGCAGUAAGUUAAUACCUUGCUGUUUUGACGUUACCAACAGAAUAAGCACCGGCUAACUUCGUG